AGAUGUGAGAGUAAUCUGGUGGCAACAUCCAUGGUCCCAUUCUCACUAGGGUUGAUUUUACGGGUCUGGGUGGCCGGGGGUAGAGGAGAGGUCCCCUUUCUCCCUCUGUUCGCUGUGCAUCCGUCCUGCAGCUGCACCCUCUGAGGGCAAGGAGGAUCUUCCUGGAUAGGUGAGGACCUUUUUCCAGUCAAGGAUGAGUACUGUGCUCCCUGACAGAGUCUCCAAACAGCUGUAAGGUUAGUGUUAUGGUUUGUGUCUGGGUGUCCCCCCAAAGCCUCAU
rnacentral:snRNA from 1 species